AUUAUUCCUAUUUGCAGAAAUAUGGCUAUUGUUCCUUUAGUUUUAAAGAUUCACUAGGUCUAUGUGUCUAAAUAAUCGCCCAAGAUUAUGAAUGCAGGCAAAAUAUUGAAAGAGUAAUCUCCUAUCCAAAAUAUAAUAUUAGAGAAAGCAUUUUCUUUCAUUGAAGCAUAUCUUAAAAUCCCUCCUCUUUCUUAAAGCCUCUCCAGACUAAUUGAAUGUAGAAGACUAACAAAUUUUAUGGCUUCCUACUACUUACUACCACCCUUUCCUAUAUAAUUAUUCCCCUGAGGGUUAUAAUGCUAUUAAAUCAUCUAUUUGACACAUGCACUUUUUAUUUUAACAUUGAUUAAGCUGUCUGCAUCUUCCUUGUGUUUAUUUGAAUCAAUGCUGCCCGUCUACUUUGCACCCAACCCAGGACCACCUCUAGAUAAGGCACUUUCCAAAGCUAUUUGGUAUAAAUGAUGAUGAUGACAAAAAUUAUUUGUUAAAGUCAAGAUUUCUUAUCAUCUAGAAACCAGUUUUAUAGGGAGGUAAAUGUAUUUUUUCUUAAAAGCAAAGACCUUAUUUAUGGGGUUAAACACUUCUUGACGGAAAUCCUGGAACACAAAAAGGAGCUAUCACAGCUUGCACACUGGAGCAUAUAUAUGUGCAGAGCAAGCAUAACAGGGUUCCUGAAUGGAGAAACAGACUCAGUAAAUGGGACUCUUCUCAUUCUUCUGAAAGGAUAAACUACUAACUAGCUCUUUCAUUCUCAGAGAAACAGUAUUUAACUCACCUUCAAAUAGGUUAUAUGAAGGAAAAACACUGUGGAUUCAUUUUCCCUAAGGGGGAACAGCCAUGAACCAGAUAAUAAUUCCUAGCAGGGCAAGUAACAAACCAAUAGUGAACCAAUUAUGUAUGUCUAAGUUAUAUUAUGUAUACUUUUGCGGGAUAUGUGUAGAUUGCAGUACGGAUCACUAACCAUUACUUUUAUUUGUAACAAUCGGCAAAGAUAUUAAUGAUUUCCAUAGGACCCAGUAUUAGAUUCUAAAGUUAGUUGUAUUUUAUACAAAUAUAGUAAUGUAAAAGAACUUACACUAUUUUAGUUUUCAUAUAUAUGAGAAAUUCAGUAUGAAAUGCAAUAUGUAUAGCUACACAGUAGAUUCUGUACAAAUACCACAGUAUAAAUUAUAUAAUUUGUGAAAAUACAGAGCUGUCUAAAAUUUGAUGAGGAGAAUAAAGAACAAUACAAGUUAGGAAACUCCAUAAAUGAUGCAUUUUAUAUGUUCUUUGUAUUUCAACAAAAACUUGCUAUCAAAACAUAUUACCUAUCAAAUAUAAAAAUUAAAACAUUCAUGAAAUGCCUUAAAACUAAAUGUUUACUUAGGGACAAAUAUGGAUUUUUCAGGAAUAUUUAUAAAUAUAUAAAUCAAACGUGAAUCACAUUAUUUGACAACCAAGUCUAUUGCUGUCAAUAGUGUUCCCACAAUUUUGUUUCUAAAUUAAAAAGCCCUUGGGUUUUCCAGCCAUAGUAAGAUCCAGGCACACAAUGCCCACAAUCUAGAUAUGGGAAUUAACUUGGGAGGAAUUAUUAGAUGGCUCUGAUCUCUUGAUAAUUCAAUAAAUGUGGAAGGGUAGAAAUAUGGAAAACUCAGGGCAGGAAAAUCAUUAGAAAAACAUCAAAUAAUGAUGCUCACGUAGUUGAGCUUGGAAGCCUUCCCAACUGUGUAUUAUUCUCUGUUGUCUUCUCCAGGCAAUCAAGGAGUUCACUGUGCUCUCCAAAGAUACUCUCAGCUCCAGAACGAUCAACCCUCCACCUCUAAUCAUCGUCAUUAACUAAGGCAGCUCUCCAUUAGAUGGUCACUUAAGGAGACUCUGGCACUAAUGUAUAAUGAAUAAUGUCAUGAUCCUUAUAUCUGAUCAGAGUUUUCAUCAAAUAAUUAUCUACUUGGAGAAAAAAAAAGGAGAAAAUAUUUAGAAGCAGAGGAGACUCUAGCACUCUUUGCUAUUUAUUCUGGAUGAGAUGCAACUCUACCCUCAAAAUAAGCCACCAAUGAAUGUAACUCCUCCAUGACAGCAUGGAGGGUCGAUCAGACUGGAAUCCAUAUUAGGUAGGUAGAAAACUACUAUGCAAAGCUGAACAUCUUCAAAAGCUGCAAACUGCAUGUUUUAAAAAGAUUUUUAAUUUAUUUUUUGGUGAGAGAUACGGAGAGCAAGGCAGAGACAUAGGCAGAGGGAGAAGCAGGCUCCCCACAGGGAGCCUGAUGCAGAACUUGAUCCCAGGACCCUGGGAUCACAACGUGAGCCAAAGGCAGACACUCAACUGGCUGAGCCAUCCGGUGCUCCUGCAAAUCACAUUUUUAAGCAAAAAUCUUCCAAGUUCUAUUCAUCAGAAGCUGAUAAAAUAGGGGCACCUGGGAAGUAACGGUUUGCAGCCCAUAAGGUCAGAGCACAGAAGAAUUAGAGAAGGCACGCAUCUCUAAAUUUCUCUGAUUCUUCAAUGAAAGAGUCAAAUUGAAUCUUGCUCUUUCCUGGUCCUGUGAAUAUAUUAUUCAUAAGAUUAUUUAUUUAUUUUUUAAAAGAUUUUAUUU
rnacentral:lncRNA from 1 species